AACGUAGGAAGCGAGCGUUAUCCGGAUUUACUGGGCGUAAAGGGCAGGCAGGCGGUCGGUUAAGUCCUACUUGAAAGCUCCCGGCUCAACUGGGAGAGGCGGUGGGAAACUGGCGGACUAGAGGAUGGUAGAGGAGAGUGGAAUUCCCGGUGUAGUGGUGAAAUGCGUAGAUAUCGGGAGGAACACCAGUGGCGAAGGCGGCUCACUGGCCCGGUACUGACGCUGAGGUGCGGAAAGCGUGGGGAGCAAACAGGG
rnacentral:rRNA from 1 species